rnacentral:rRNA from 1 species
UACGAAGGGUGCAAGCGUUACUCGGAAUUACUGGGCGUAAAGCGCGUGUAGGCGGCUCGGUAAGUCCGGUGUGAAACCUUGGGGCUCAACCCCAAGCCUGCACUGGAUACUGUCGAGCUUGAGUCCGGGAGGGGAGAGCGGAAUCCUAGUGUAGCGGUGAAAUGCGCAGAUAUUAGGAAGAACACCGGUGGCGAAGGCGGCUCUCUGGAACGGUACUGACGCUGAGACGCGAAAGCGUGGGGAGCGAACAGG